rnacentral:rRNA from 1 species
GACGAACGCUGGCGGCGUGCUUAACACAAGCAAGUCGAACGGAAAGGCCUCUUUCGGGGGGUACUCGAGUGGCGAACGGGUGAGUAACACGUGAGUAACCUGCCCUUGACUUUGGGAUAACUUCAGGAAACUGGGGCUAAUACCGGAUAGGAGCUCCUGCUGCAUGGUGGGGGUUGGAAAGUUUCGGCGGUUGGGGAUGGACUCGCGGCUUAUCAGCUUGUUGGUGGGGUAGUGGCUUACCAAGGCUUUGACGGGUAGCCGGCCUGAGAGGGUGACCGGCCACAUUGGGACUGAGAUACGGCCCAGACUCCUACGGGAGGCAGCAGUGGGGAAUAUUGCACAAUGGGUGGAAGCCUGAUGCAGCAACGCCGUGUGCGGGAGGACGGCCUUCGGGUUGUAAACCGCUUUCGCUCAUGACGAAGCUUUGUGUGACGGUAGUGGGUAAAGAAGCACCGGCUAACUACGUG